rnacentral:rRNA from 1 species
UACGUAGGGACCAAGCGUUGUUCGGAUUUACUGGGCGUAAAGGGCGCGUAGGCGGCAAUUCAAGUCAGCUGUGAAAUCUCUGGGCUUAACCCAGAACGGCCAGCUGAUACUGCUUUGCUAGAGUGCAGAAGGGGCAAUCGGAAUUCUUGGUGUAGCGGUGAAAUGCGUAGAUAUCAAGAGGAACACCUGAGGUGAAGACGGGUUGCUGGGCUGACACUGACGCUGAGGCGCGAAAGCCGGGGGAGCAAACGGG